UUCUUCCUUGUGAUCAUAUUUCUUUGCAGAUGGCUCUGAAUUUUUGUCUAAUAUUAAUGCUCCCUGAGACCUUUUCUCCCUGCUGUGUUCCAUCGAUGUCUCUUCACCUUAACUAUCCCACAGGUUGCCUCCUCUUUGCUGGACUGAAUACGUCUAGCAAUGCCGACUUUUCCAUACAAUCUUCCUGUGUAAAAUGAUCACUGUAUGAACUGAAAGUACCGAGAGACAAGCAAAAACCAGGUGAGAUUUGUAUGAAAGAAGGAAAAGGGUUCCCCUCUAUGACCUCUAGAGGGCGCGCGGUCUCCUGUGUAAGUCCUGCCAGCGCCUAAGCCUGCAGCUCUUCUAAGAACCAAAUAACAUUUUUCAGCUUGGAACCCACUUGGCUGCGAAAGCAAUACUUCUUAUUUCUGCUAAUUCUAUAUUCUAAUUAUCUUACAGCGUAAUUUCCAGCCUUCAUUCUGAGCUCCCAGGCUGACCCUGUAUGCAGGCCUCUGUAAUUCUGCCCAUUCACUCUCUGUUUGCCGAAGCCUGCUUCUUCGCUUCAGGCAGAGCUGGAAGAAGGACUGCAGGAGGAGCCCGCGCUGGGCCGAGGAGGCCGCUGCAGAGACCGGGAAGCCGAGGGGUUUUCACCCUGAGAGCCUGGUGCAGGCCUCUCCGGGCUUCCUUGUCAAGGCUUUCCCAGGCCAGCGGAGGGUAAUCCCGGUUUCCGAUCCUGCUGGACUCCAGGCAACAUGACUCAGGAACUCUGGGCCUGAGAGCCCUAGUGGUUCCCCAGGACCGUUAAUCCUCCCGGAAAAGGGGUGAUCUCAGCCAAGGAGACUGCACAGGCUUUGCUUACUGCUGAAAGCCCGCUAAUGGACAACAAAUAAAAACUACGGUGAUGAGGUGAUGAUGACCUUAGCUGCUGCCUGGCCCUAACCUUUGCGGGGGCUGUGGAGCUCGGGCUCCUCCUUUCAAGGCCCCACUUUUAUGACGCACAUAAAUUCUUACAGCCUUCGUUUUUUUCUAACUGAUGAAGUUUUGCGGGAAUUACCGAGGUAGCCUUUAACGGAUUUCAACUUUGCAUCGACCAUUUUCCUUGGAGCCGCACAGCUACUGCUCCAGUGAGGUGACGUGAAUCGCUAUGGCAUGUGCUGUGAUCGAAGCCCUCCUGCUCUAUUGCCGCAUUCUGCCCAUCGCUGUGGAGAGGCUGCAGCUCCGGGGUGGGCCAGCUGGGCAUCAGGGUGCCCCGCUCUCCCCCUUACCUGGCCUUGACUCCUCAUGCAAGAAACCUCUCCGUCCAUGUGCUAUGCAAAGAAGUGACAUGACAUCUCCACCUCACUUCGCCACACGGAACCGAAGAUGGAUUUAGAGUUGGCUGGGCCCAGCACCUUCUGGCCCCCUCUGUGGUCCUCUGGGCAUCAUGGUGCUGGCCACGCCCUUUCCCUUUGUGUAGCUGCAACCCAGGUUCACACAGUGAUGCAAUUGCCCAGGAGAAUAAAAUGCUUAAGCUUUUAA